AGCUUUGCGCAGUGGCAGUAUCGUAGCCAAUGAGGCUUAUCCGAGGCGCGAUUAUUGCUAAUUGAAAUCUCCCUUUCUCUUCUAGGUGAUUCUGAGCGAGGAAGUCCCCCAAUUUUUCACUUCGCUAUAUUGAGAAGAAAGAAAGAAGGCUUUGUAAGGAUAUAUCUCC
rnacentral:snRNA from 1 species